GAUGAACGCUAGCUACAGGCUUAACACAUGCAAGUCGAGGGGUAACGAGAGGAAAGCUUGCUUUCCUUGUCGACGACCGGCGCACGGGUGAGUAACGCGUAUCCAACCUGCCCCCAACUAGGGAAUAACCUUGCGAAAGUAAGACUAAUACCCUAUAAUUUCCUCAGAUGUCAUCUGACGAGGAAUAAAGAUUUAUCGGUUGUGGAUGGGGAUGCGUCUGAUUAGCUUGUUGGCGGGGUAACGGCCCACCAAGGCAACGAUCAGUAGGGGUUCUGAGAGGAAGGUACCACACACUGGAAGUAAGACACGGUCCAAACUCCUACGGGAGGCAGCAGUGAGGAAUAUUGGUCAAUGGGCGGAAGCCUGAACCAGCCAAGUAGCGUGCAGGAUGACGGCCCUAUGGGUUGUAAACUGCUUUUAUACAGGAAUAAAGUUAGCCACGUGUGGUUAUUUGUAGGUACUGUAUGAAUAAGGACCGGCUAAUUCCGUGCCAGCCGCCGCGGUAA
rnacentral:rRNA from 1 species